rnacentral:rRNA from 1 species
UACGAAGGGGGCUAGCGUUGUUCGGAAUUACUGGGCGUAAAGCGCACGUAGGCGGGUUAUUAAGUCAGGGGUGAAAUCCCGGAGCUCAACUCCGGAACUGCCUUUGAUACUGAGGGGCUCGAGUCCGGGAGAGGUGAGUGGAACUGCGAGUGUAGAGGUGAAAUUCGUAGAUAUUCGCAAGAACACCAGUGGCGAAGGCGGCUCACUGGCCCGGUACUGACGCUGAGGUGCGAAAGCGUGGGGAGCAAACAGG